rnacentral:rRNA from 1 species
GACGAACCGUGCGAACGUUGUUCGGGAUCACUGGGCUUAAAGGGCGCGUAGGCGGGCAAGCAAGUCCGGGGUGAAAUCUUUCGGCUCAACCGGAAAAGUGCCUUGGAUACUGCUUGUCUGGAGGGAGGUAGGGGCCCGUGGAACUUCCGGUGGAGCGGUGAAAUGCGUUGAUAUCGGAAGGAACGCCGGUGGCGAAAGCGACGGGCUGGAUCUCUACUGACGCUGAGACGCGAAAGCCAGGGGAGCGAACGGG